UACAGAGGAUGCAAGCGUUAUCCGGAAUCAUUGGGCGUAAAGAGCGCGUAGGCGGCCCGGUAAGUCCGCUGUGAAAGUCAAAGGCUCAACCUUUGAAUGUCAGCGGAUACUGCCGGGCUAGAGUCCGGAAGAGGCGAGUGGAACUCCUGGUGUAGCGGUGGAAUGCGCAGAUAUCAGGAAGAACACCAACGGCGAAGGCAGCUCGCUGGGACGGAACUGACGCUGAGGCGCGAAAGCGUGGGGAGCGAACAGG
rnacentral:rRNA from 1 species